rnacentral:lncRNA from 1 species
UUUAUCUUUUUGAGAUAGGGUUUUGCUAUAUAGUUAGGCUGGCUUUAAACUUGUGAUAAUCCACCUGUUUUAGCCUCUUGAGUGCUGAGAUUAUAGGCAUGUACUACCACACUUGGCUAGAAUUUUCUCAUUAAGUAUAAUGCCAGUUUUGGGGAGAAGUAGAUGGGUAGAUAUCUGUACUUACUUUAUUAAAAUAUUUUCCCCUUAAAUUAAGAAUGAAUAUUGAAUCUCACAAAAUCCUCUUUAAUAUAAUGGAGAUUAAUCUUGACUUUUUAUUAGUUUAAUAAAAUAAAUUACGUUUUAGAUUUACUCAUGCAGAACCAUCUUGUAUUCCUAGAAUAAGCCACGCCUGAUUGUGAUGUAUUAUUUUUUAAGGUGCUGAUAGACUCAAUUUGCUAACCUUAUUUACAUUUUAUCAAUUAUUUUAGUGGAAUGAUACUUUUCUUAAGCACUUAAUAAUCUUGGAAUAUAUAAAAAAUGCAACUUAUAGGUCUUCAUGAUAGAGUGUGUCUUUUAUCGUUAUAAUAACCCUCUUUGCUUUCUUUGUUGCACGCUGCCGAGUUCAUCCUGAUCAAAUACCAAGACUGGGAGCCAAGUUUACAUUUUAUUUGCAUUUGUCAAAUUCAGACUGCCUCAAGAGCUGUCACGUUUCUCAUAUGAGGAUCAAGCCCAAGGUUUCCUCAGCAAUGUGCCAAGGUCAGAGACCCUCCUGCUGGCAGAAGGAGCAGACAGAGUUCAAGGCCAGGAGAGCGAGUGUGAGGGAGCGGCUGUUGUG